rnacentral:lncRNA from 1 species
AUGCUUCAGGAACUGUGUAUAUUGUGUUGGAAAAAGAAAAAAAUAUGUCUUUGUUUAAAAUUAUUUGGUUUGGUGACUCUCUCUUGCUUUCCCUCCUGUUGGAACUGGUCACUCACCCAUGUCCAAACUGGUAGAGCAACAUUUGAAGAGCUAGUAGAUCUUUAUCUGAUAGGUGAACUGCACGGUGCCCUGGACCGCUUCACCCAGACAGCCUGGGUUUUGAUCCUGCUUAAUAAAUUCAUUGAGGUUCUCCACGUGCAUAACAAACUCUGCUCCAAUCUGUAACACACACGCCUGUGCAUUGAAGUUCAGUAAAGUACCCCAACCAAACUUUAUUUUUCUAUGUAUUUUUUGCAACAUGAGAGUGUUUUUAAAAUAAAGUGCCGUGUCAUUUUUAGACACAUCUGUGUGUGAUUUUCUGCAUCCUAAAGACUGUGUGCCCUUGAACUUCUGCGUUCCUACCUACCCCGUUCUCCCACCCUCAGCCUGCCUGGCAGAUCUCUGGACACCAAGUGAUCAAAAGCAGUAGCUUAGCUGGUAGCAGAUGAUGGUCAUUCUUUCAUAAAUACUCUGGCUUCCAUUACUGAUUAAAUGUGGAGGGGAAAGAAAUUUCUGUCUCAAAGGGAAAAAAAAAAGGCAUGUUUCUAUCUCGAUUUAAUAACUACCUGCGUCAACCCAGAGAUACCUUUUGUUUAAAUAGAGAAAGCCAGGUAUUCACUUACAUUUCUUGAAGCCCCAGAAGGAAACUUGGAGACCACAGCAAUGCUUACAAUUUUCCGUUCUAUUUCCAUUAGCCCCGCGCACUCUAUCUGCUCUCCUUGGUCCCCAGCACCUGCAUCUCCCUCAACACAUCACCUUUGCUCAAGGCACACAAACUUCUGGCAAGUAACAACUUUGACUUGGAAUUACAAGUACUGAAUAUAGGUUUAGGAGUUCCUGUUGUGGCACAGUGGAAACGAAUCUGACUAGGAACCAUGAGGUUGCGGGUUUGAUCCCUGGCCUCAUUCAGUGGGUUCAGGAUCCGGGCGUUACAGUGAGCUGUGGUGUAGGUUGAAGCCAUGGCUCAGAUCCUACAUUGCUGUGGCUGUGAUGUAGGCCAGCAGCUGGAGCUCCAAUUCGACCCCUAGCUUGGGAACAUCUAUGUGCCUUGGGUGUGGCCUUAAAAAAAAAGCAAAAAAAGAAAAUAGGUUUAAA